GCUAAACGCGAAGAACCUUACCUGGCCUUGACAUGUCCGGAAUUCUGCAGAGAUGCGGAAGUGCCUUCGGGAAUCGGAACACAGGUGCUGCAUGGCUGUCGUCAGCUCGUGUCGUGAGAUGUUGGGUUAAGUCCCGCAACGAGCGCAACCCUUGUCCUUAGUUGCCAGCGAGUAAUGUCGGGAACUCUAAGGAGACUGCCGGUGACAAACCGGAGGAAGGUGGGGAUGACGUCAAGUCCUCAUGGCCCUUACGGCCAGGGCUACACACGUACUACAAUGGUCGGUACAGAGGGUUGCCAAACCGCAAGGUGGAGCCAAUCCCAGAAAGCCGAUCCCAGUCCGGAUCGGAGUCUGCAACUCGACUCCGUGAAGUCGGAAUCGCUAGUAAUCGCGGAUCAGAAUGCCGCGGUGAAUACGUUCCCGGGUCUUGUACACACCG
rnacentral:rRNA from 1 species